AGAUUCACGAAACAAGUGGAAAACUCGAGAAAUAAAACUGCUUUUAAUGAAGACUGUGAGAAAGUUAAACUUUAUAAACCGCGUUAGGAGACGAGAUGAUGAGAGACUGAAUCUUUACCUCAGAGGAACAUUUAUUUCUUUGUUCUUUAAUGUAAAUUUCUCCUCGACCGUUCUCCAGACGUGGACAACUAUUCUGAAGACGACGAUGACAGUUAUUCUUCAGAGCAGGAGGUCAGUGAUGAUGCCGUUCAGGGUCAGUGGAUAUGAACAGAAGUUCAGAUGCGUCUAUAGCACUUCACUCUACAGCUGUUGAGCAGACGGCUGGGGGGAUGUCACAUGUGACGGGGAUGUGAACGCAGACAAAUCAGCAGCAAACAUCGGCAAACUCUGCAAGGCCGAGUCUCAGACUCUCAUGUCGUGGAGACGCUGUGUCUUUCGUUGCAAAAAGAAAGACCCUUUGUUUGCCCAGCCAAAAUGACACAACUGAAAAGGAAUGGUUCAAUUUUAUUUACAACACUGUUCAAGUUUGUGUAGCUCAUUUCCAGACGGCUGCUUCACGAACGCUUUGGUUAAAAGUGGGGCUAUUCCAACCAUUAAAACUUUACAAGGACAGUCUGGAGCUUCCGAUUUGCAGCCUGUAAGUAUAUUUUCAUUGUAAAACACUUUGUUACGGACUAACGUGAGUUGACUUUGUCGUAUGUUUGUGAUCUGCAAAUGCAGACAUGCGCGCAACGUGAAAAAAGACAACAUGAGUCCUAAUAAUGAGUAAUAAUGUUCCACUAGAGGCAACAAAUGUUGUGUUUAUAUUGUCUUUUAUUAAGUAUUUAUUUAGGGUUUAGGGUUUAUUGUCUUUGUUGAGUUGCGAUGAGACGUGGCCUAACACUGGUUGAUCAAGAAGGGCAAAAGCGCUCGCGUAAUUUUAUUAUGUUGCUCGCGUUGUUUUAUAAUGUAACCAUUCCCUGCUGUAGUGUGAGCUUUUUAACAUCGUAUAUAAAACAGGGUGUCCGCGGAUCCUUAAAAUGUCUUAAAAAGUCUUAAAUUCCAUAAUGUCAAAACAAGGCAUUAAUUAGCAUUACAGUUUUUCUCAAAUGCUUUGGCUCAUUUCUUGAAACAGAAACUACAUUCUCAAAAUUCUAAGAUCAUUUGGCAAAACAGUCUUACAGUUCAGCACAACACUAUAGCUCACUUGCAAAAGCUAAUAUCUCUCCCAAAACUUUUCACUCAUGCCUCAAAACUUAAUUCCUUUCCCAUAUAAAGAGUCAUUGCCACGAAAAUGACAAAGAUCCUUCUCAAAUGCUUUGGCUCAUUUCUUGAAACAGACCGGACGUUCUCAACACUCUUGGUGCUUUUGCCAAAAUAACGUGGAUGGUUCGGCACAACACCAUGGUUCACCUGCAAAAACUCAUACCUCUCUCAUGUGUCAAAACUAAAUUUCCUUCUCUUUUAAACAGUCAGUGCCCCCAAAAUGGUUCUCCCCUUUGGCAUUGUGUAAGCACUAUAUCAAAAAUUCAAAAUAUUUAGAUGUUUUGUCACUAUGGCAGAGGACCAUUUAAACAUCCCUCAUGUCCACCUUUCAGUCUUGGCCCAUUCCUUCAUUGACAAUAGUUACUGUUCUGUUUUUUGUCUAGCUAACAGAAUGCAAUUGUGUAUAAAACUGAAAAAAAGA